GGAACAAGAAGACCUUCGGGCCUCUCAGGCUCAGAGCAGCUGCUGCUGCUGCUGCUGCUGCUGCUGGAGCUCGACUCCGCCUCCGACUCGUAGUCCACCUCCGGACCGGAGUCUUCGGCCGAGGAGCUGGACUCCCCGUUGUCGCCGCGACGAGACAUGGAGCUCGUCUUGUGGUUGUAGCAGGCGGCGCAGCGAGACAGGCCGAGGCACUCGGGGCCUGACCUGGACUGAACCCAGAGGGGAGACGAGCAGAAAUGUCAAGACUGUAAAUCACUUCUUCAUCCAGUUGACUUUAACUUACCCAUUCUCCCACUCUCUCCUCGUCGGGGCCAGGACACAGAGCGACUGUCGACAGCUGCUCAUCCCGUUCCUGCAGUCGCUCACGUAGACGGGCGGCCACACCCACCUACAUCUGAACAGCCAAUCAGAGUGAUCUCUGUCUUCAACAAUUUCGACGGUGUGGAACACGGCGCCAAGACUUGGGAAUUAUCUACACUUAUCGACGUUCCGACGAGUUCCAACAGCCGACUGUGGAGGUCCAGAAGAGAAAAUGCUCCAGGGAAAGAAAAGUGAGUUCUUGAACAUGUGGAAAAGGCAGAAAAUACUUUAGAAGAAGAAGCUUUUGUGUCACACCCGCUGGAUAUCAACGUCCCCAGCAGGAUAUCCACACUGCAAAACUCUCUGUACAUUCUCAGGUCGAUUUAAAAAAACAGUGAACAGUCGACCCCCGACAUCUAAACUGUCCAGAAAACAGUAAUUCAGUCAGUGAUAUUCUAACGCUCUGCCAGGAAGAUGAACCAGGGUUGACUGCAGUAACUGUAGCUGCAAUUUUUCUUCCACUGGUUUCUUCACAGAUUUCUCCAGAAUCUGAGCUUCUGGUCACAGUCUGUAUCGACUCUAGCGUGAGUCCAGAGUAAAGUUUACGUGUCGUACACUUUGUCCCUCACACGUCUCUGCAGGUUCAACUUCCCCUUCUCUCUCUCUCUCUCUCUCUGUCUUUUCGUGUGUCUCCAGUGUGUAGUGCUGUAUAACUUAAAGAAAAAAUAUUCACGAUUUCUAAAGUGCACAUGUGGAAAAAGACGGACUCUCCUUGAAGUCAAUUCGUCCCCGUCUGUAACUGACAUCUGUCGCGUUAUGUUCUCGUCUCACAGAGUCCGGAGCUCAGCAGGUUUUCAGACGGACAAGUCGGUGUCUGUGUCGGUGGCCGCGUUCUUCGGGCUCGCUCGGCCUCCUCUCUCCUCUGGGAUGGAGGACGGGUCGCCGUUCAGACUGGUCAGCACACCUGGAACACACAUGGAAUUUCACAGAUGAGUUGACUUUAUUCACUGAUGUUCAAAUUCAGAUUCAAGUCACCAUUUUUUUUUUGACCAAAUGACCAGGAUGUGUCGUACAUAUAGAAAAUAUAAAGUGAGUUUCCAUCCACCUGCUUUUAAACACACUUUCAAUUUAGAAAUAAAGAAAAAAGAAACGCAAAAUGAAAUGUCACUUUUUGUAUAUGUAUUGUACACUAUAAAAAAUACCGGCAUGUCUUACGUUCGGCGUCAUAAACAGAGCUGUCCGAGAAUGUCCGGUUCCGGCGCUGAGUUGACCUUUGACCUCCACUCACGUACUCCUUCAGCACACCUGACCUGAGAGAAGAAGAGCUAUUCUUUGCAGAGAAUCCAAGAUAACAUGAUACAAAAACUCCACAGAACAUACAUGUUGCUGUUUUUGUUUUCUUACUAAAACACAAACGUCUGAUUCCUGUGAUAUUAAAAUCUUGUUGUUUACUGGUCUUGUUUAAGGCGAACACCAUUUUUUCCCAAUGGUAGUUUGGUUAGUCACUGCGUUGUAAUGCUGCCGCCUAGAGGCCACAUUUUAUAUCAUUAUUAUUGUUCAUAAUUCAAGGAUUCUGUUCUGAAGUCAAUUUGAAGUUUACAUCAACAGAGAUGUCUUUUUAUUUUGGGGUAAUAUUACGUUGUCGAAGUUUUCCCUUUUUUUUAAUUGGUACUGUUAUUAAACAUUUUUUUCAGUUUUUGUUUGUUCUAUCCUGUUCAGUAAAGCACUUUGGGCAUCAUCUUUACCUGAAAGCUGCAAUACAAAUACGAGUUAUUGAUUCUAAGGGGCACAUCUGUGUCCCGGCUCACCUGUCGAAGCUGUAGGUUCCAGGGUGACUGAUGGACCUCUUCAUCUGGGCCGACGCACAGAGACCAGAAAUCUUUUUUUUAAAAACUUGACUAAAUACUAACAACAAAAUCAUCCAACUUUUGUAAAGCUCUAAUUUAAAUGUGUCAUAUGUAAAGUUGUACUUUUUGUCAAGAACACGUCCCUGGUUACAUUUGUUUCACGUCUGUGGUCUGUUUUUACCGCUGUGUGUAAUUACAAAAUAAAACUUGGAGGAAGAGUAACUACCUUUUCUGGCGGUCGGAGGUCAGGGGUCAGACUCUGGUUAGCCAGGUUCAUACACUCCUCCAACGUCCUGAUGAAAGUCGCGCAGGUCGCACUGAGGAGCGAGGCCUGGAGAACGAAAAAACAAUGAUCAUCCGUACUUGUAUCAUCUGUCCUCCCUAAGAUUAAAGUGCAAAUGAAGAAG